AUGAGCCUCUCCGCCCUCUCCCGCGCGCUCGCGCGCUCCUCCCGGUCGCGCCAGGGUUAUCUGCUCGGGGGCCAUGGCGUGCUCCGCGCACCGCUGCCUUCGCCUUCGCCGCCGCCGUCGCCGCUGCUGCCCGGCGGUGAGGGCGCCGGGCUGCGGCUCGUGCGUCGCUACCUGACGUCCGCUCUGGGGAGCCGGGCUUCCUCGGCCAAUGCGGCCGGGAAGGUCCGAGACGGGAGGUCCCUGCUCGCCAACUCGCAGUCCCGGCGGCUGUUGUCCGACCAGUCGAAAAAGAAUUUCCCCAAGGAGAAGGAGGUGCCGCAAGGGGAUGGGAGCAACAAGUCUGAAUCGAAGAAGGAAUCCAAUUCAGGUGGUCAGCCAAAUGUCCAGGAGAAACUUCUGAAGCUAUUCCAGGACUCUAUUGGUCCUGUAUUCCUUCUUGGCCUAUUACUAGCAACAUUAUCGGGUUCAUCAGAGAAGGAGAUAAGCUUUCAAGAAUUUAAGAACAAGCUUUUAGAACCUGGGUUAGUUGACCGGAUCGUUGUUAUAAACAAGACAGUUGCAAAAGUUCAUGUCAGAAGUUCACCCUCAACCAAGCAAAACCAGCAUAGUGAUACAAGUAUUACUACCAGUCAUCUUCCUGGUCAAGAGGCUCCUAGCAAAUACAAGUAUUACUUUAAUAUUGGAAGUGUUGAUUCUUUCGAAGAGAAGUUAGAAGAGGCUCAGGAAGCAUUGGGGAUAGAUCGACAUGAUUACAUCCCUGUAAUUUAUGCUGAUAAGAUAAGCUGGUUCCAGGAAAUCAUGAAGUUUGCUCCGACACUUUUCAUUGUUGGCUUGCUAUAUGUGGUGGGGAGAAAGAUGUCGAUUAGUAUUGGUAGUGGUUCUGGGCAAGGAGGCCGUAGUAUUUUCAGCAUUGGAAAAGCUCAAGUGACAAAGAUGGAUAAAAACUCCAAAAACAAGGUUUUCUUUAAGGAUGUAGCUGGUUGUGAUGAAGCUAAACAAGAAAUCAUGGAAUUUGUUCAUUUCCUGAAAAACCCUGACAAAUAUGAAGCGCUGGGAGCUAAAAUACCGAAGGGUGCUCUUCUUUGUGGCCCCCCUGGCACAGGGAAGACUCUCCUUGCUAAAGCUACUGCUGGAGAGUCUGGUGUACCUUUCUUGUCUAUAUCUGGUUCAGACUUCUUGGAAAUGUUUGUUGGUGUUGGACCAUCCAGGGUGAGAAGCUUAUUUCAAGAAGCUCGGGAAUGUGCACCUAGUAUUGUAUUUAUUGAUGAAAUUGAUGCAAUUGGUCGUGCAAGAGGCCGUGGAGGGUAUUCUGGUGGGAACAGUGAGCGUGAGAAUACGUUGAAUCAGUUGCUUGUAGAGAUGGAUGGGUUUGGAACAACAGCUGGGGUAGUUGUACUUGCGGGCACAAAUAGACCUGACAUCCUGGAUAAAGCUUUGCUAAGACCAGGAAGAUUUGAUCGUCAGAUAAGUAUUGAUAGGCCAGACAUAAAUGGCCGUGAACAAAUAUUCCGCAUCUACCUUGCAAAGCUAAAACUGGAUAAGGAGCCGUCGUUCUAUUCGCAAAGAUUAGCUGCGUUGACACCUGGAUUUGCUGGAGCAGAUAUUGCCAAUAUCUGUAACGAGGCUGCUCUAAUUACUGCAAGAAGAGAUGAGAAGCUGAUUACAAUGCAGCAUUUUGAGUCUGCAAUUGAUAGGGUAAUUGGAGGCUUGGAGAAGAAAAAUACGGUCAUUAGCAAACUGGAGCGUCGAACCGUUGCUUACCAUGAAUCUGGUCAUGCUGUUGCUGGAUGGUUUUUGGAGCAUGCAGAGCCACUCCUUAAAGUUACAAUUGUACCUCGUGGAACAGCUGCUUUAGGCUUUGCCCAGUACGUACCAAGUGAGAAUCUUUUGAUGACAAAAGAACAGUUUUUUGACAGGACAUGCAUGACCCUAGGUGGCCGAGCCGCUGAGGAGGUUUUGAUUGGGAAGAUCUCGACUGGUGCUCAGAAUGAUCUGGAGAAAGUUACUAAAAUGACUUACGAGCAGGUUGCAGUAUAUGGCUUCAGUGAAAAGGUUGGGCUCCUAUCUUUCCCUCAAAGGUAUGAUGGUUUUGGAAUGGACAAGCCAUAUAGCGGGCAGACAGCAUCCAUGAUUGACACUGAGGUGAGGGAAUUGGUUGCCAAGGCCUACAACACCACUACUGAGCUGAUAAGGAAGCACAAGGACAAAGUUGCCCAAGUUGCAGAGCUGUUGCUUGAGAAGGAGGUCCUCCAUCAGGAUGAUCUGGUCCGGGUUCUAGGGGAGCGCCCAUUCAAGACAGCCGAGCCAACAAAUUAUGAUCGCUUCAAACAAGGUUUCAUGGAUUCGGAGGACAGUAAGAGUGCUGAAGUCGACCCAUCAUCAUCCGUUGGCGAGGCAGUGCCAACCUAA
rnacentral:rRNA from 1 species